rnacentral:rRNA from 1 species
AUGAACGCUGGCGGCGUGCCUAAUACAUGCAAGUCGAGCGAACGGACGAGAAGCUUGCUUCUCUGAUGUUAGCGGCGGACGGGUGAGUAACACGUGGAUAACCUACCUAUAAGACUGGGAUAACUUCGGGAAACCGGAGCUAAUACCGGAUAAUAUUUUGAACCGCAUGGUUCAAAAGUGAAAGGCGGUCUUGCUGUCACUUAUAGAUGGAUCCGCGCUGCAUUAGCUAGUUGGUAAGGUAACGGCUUACCAAGGCAACGAUGCAUAGCCGACCUGAGAGGGUGAUCGGCCACACUGGAACUGAGACACGGUCCAGACUCCUACGGGAGGAAGCAGUAGGGAAUCUUCCGCAAUGGGCGAAAGCCUGACGGAGCAACGCCGCGUGAGUGAUGAAGGUCUUCGGAUCGUAAAACUCUGUUAUUAGGGAAGAACAUAUGUGUAAGUAACUGUGCACAUCUUGACGGUACCUAAUCAGAAAGCCACGGCUAACUACGUG